GACGAACGCUGGCGGCGCGCUUAACACAUGCAAGUCGAGCGAGGUCCAGGCCUUCGGGCCUGGGGACAGCGGCGAACGGGUGAGUAACACGUGGGUAAUCAACCCUCGACACUGGGAUAGCCCGGGGAAACCCGGAUUAAUACCGGAUGGCCCUUUGGAUCUUCGGAUCUGACGGGAAAGGUAGCUUCGGCCUCCGGUCGAGGACGAGCCCGCGGCGGAUUAGCUUGUUGGUGGGGUAACGGCUCACCAAGGCGACGAUCCGUAGCUGGUCUGAGAGGACGAUCAGCCACACUGGGACUGAGACACGGCCCAGACUCCUACGGGAGGCAGCAGUGGGGAAUCUUGCGCUAAUGCGGGCAACCGUGACGCAGCGACGCCGCGUGAGGGAAGAAGGCCUUCGGGUUGUAAACCUCUUUCAGGAGGGACGAAGCCACUCGGGUGAAUAGCCCAGAGGGUGACGGUACCUCCAGAAGAAGCCCCGGCUAACUACGUGCCAGCCGCCGCAGUAACAC
rnacentral:rRNA from 1 species